CAGAGGGGGCAAGCGUUAUUCGGAAUUAUUGGGCGUAAAGGGCGCGUAGGCGGCUUUGCAAGUGGCGGGUGAAAUCCCUCGGCUUAACCGAGGAACUGCCCGCCAGACUGCAUGGCUUGAGACCCGGGAGAGGUGAGUGGAAUUCCCAGUGUAGCGGUGAAAUGCGUAGAUAUUGGGAGGAACACCAGCGGCGAAGGCGGCUCACUGGACCGGUACUGACGCUGAGGCGCGAAAGCGUGGGGAGCAAACAGGAUUAGAUACCCUGGUAGUCCACGCCGUAAACGAUGAGUGCUUGGUGUAGCGGGUAUCGACCCCUGCUGUGCCGACGUCAACACAUUAAGCACUCCGCCUGGGGAGUACGGUCGCAAGACUG
rnacentral:rRNA from 1 species